UAGUAAUUCUAGAGCUAAUACGUGCAACAAACCCCGACUUCUGGAAGGGAUGCAUUUAUUAGAUAAAAGGUCAGCGCGGGCUUUGCCCGUUGCUCUGAUGAUUCAUGAUAACUUGACGAAUUGCACGGCCUUUGUGCUGGCGAUGCAUCAUUCAAAUUUCAGCCCUAUCAACUUUUGAUGGUAGGAUAGUGGCCUACUAUGGUGGUGACGGGUGACGGAGAAUUAGGGUUCGAUU
rnacentral:ncRNA from 1 species